rnacentral:rRNA from 1 species
CAGGGWWUGCCCUAGUAACGGCGUAGUGAAGCGGCAACAGCUCAAAUUUGAAAUCUCGUAGUCCGAGUUGUAAUUUGUAGAGGAUGCUUUUGGUGAGGUGCCUUCCGAGUUCCCUGGAACGGGACGCCAUAGAGGGUGAGAGCCCCGUACGGUUGGAUACCAAGCCUCUGUAUAGCUCCUUCAACGAGUCGAGUAGUUUGGGAAUGCUGCUCUAAAUGGGAGGUAUAUCUCUUCUAAAGCUAAAUAUAGGCUAGAGACCGAUAGCGCACAAGUAGAGUGAUCGAAAGAUGAAAAGCACUUUGAAAAGAGAGUUAAACAGCACGUGAAAUUGUUGAAAGGGAAGCGCCUAUGACCAGACUUGUUUCUGGCAGUUUCGUUAGCCCUCGGGCUGAUUUACUCUGUCCAGUACAGGCCAGCAUCAGUUUGCUGUCGGGGAGAAAGGCUCUGGGAACGUAGCUCCCCCCUUCUGGGGGGAGUGUUAUAGCCCUCUGCAUAAUACCCUUCGGCAGACUGAGGACCGCGCUUCGGCAAGGAUGCUGGCGUAAUGGUCAUCAGCGACCCGUCUUGAAACACGGACCAAGGAGUCAACCUUAUGUGCGAGUGUUUGGGUGUAAAACCCCAGCGCGUAAUGAAAGUGAACGUAGGUGAGAGCUUCGGCGCAUCAUCGACCGAUUCUGAUGUUUUCGGAUGGAUUUGAGUAAGAGCACACAGGGUUGGACCCGAAAGAAGGUGAACUAUGCUUGUAUAGGGUGAAGCCAGAGGAAACUCUGGUGGAGGCUCGCAGCGGUUCUGACGUGCAAAUCGAUCGUCAAAUAUGAGCAUGGCGGCGAAAGAC